rnacentral:SRP_RNA from 1 species
GCCGGGCGUGGUGGUGAGUGCCUGUAAUCCCAGCUACUGGGUAGGCUGAGGUAGGAGGAUCACUUGAGCCCAGGAGUUCAAGGCUGCAGUGAACUGUGAUUGCACCACUGCAUUCCAGCCUGGGUGACAGAGUGAGACCCUGUCUCUA